rnacentral:sRNA from 1 species
AAGUAGCCCCGACUGCAACGGCAUCCUUUUUCUUUUUUUUAGGAAAAAAGGAAAAGAUAUAGUGGAAAGCGGGUUAAAGC